UAGCAUUUCCAUUAGGAACCCCACACCGCCCUAUUACCAUGGCAUUAGCACCUGCAACAAUGGGAGCAAGAGAGGAUGCUCCCCACCAACUGGUCCACAGCUGGGAGUUGGUGUCACCCCAUCACACAGAGGCUGUGGCAUCCUGCUUUACCUGCUGAGCUGGAGGAGCCUCUGCUAUCAGAUAUCUUCCCCCGGUGCAGCUCAGGUCUCCUCCCCUUUGAUCGGCCGAUGGGGAUCCUUCCAUUUCUCACGAUUCACGGAUCGAUGGGACCGGAUCGUUAGCUCCGGCACCCCCUCCUGCAAUCAGCACUGCAGGCGGCAGCGCUGCUGGGGAUGGAUUAAAGGCUCAGCCUGAAUGGGGAAGCCGGCAGCAGGAGAAAAAGCAGUGAGAGCAGGGUUAGGAAAGGCACCAUCGCCGUGCCGAGGGCCAACAGAACGGCCGUGCUGCAGUCCGGUCCCAGCAUGGAUUUGCUCUGCAGAUACAGGAAAGCAUCUUUCAGCUGUGAGGGACAGCCAGCAGGGACAGCCCUGGGGAAUGGCAUCUGUAUCCUGGCCAUGCUGAGCGAAAAACCCCAAUGGCGGUAUAGGCGGAAACGCUGCCCACCACCCUGCAGAACUCCAGGAGGAGACCCCCGCAGGAAACCAGAAUUUUCCGAGCAGCCCCACCCCCGGCAGCACUGGGGUUUCCUAACGCAUUUGAGGACCCAGAAGAGCAGUCGGGCUCCUGCAUGCUCCUGGGAGCUGAGAGCAGGAGGCACGAAGGUGACAUGAGGAUGAGCCUUCCAUCAGCCUCACAGCACAGGGUGAGGGUAUAAAUCAGGGCUCUGCAGCCCUCCCCCCAAGGGCAGCACCCCUUCCUGCCCCAAGCGGAGCUUUCCAUACCACAUUAACCCCAAACACGAUUGCUCCCAAGCGGUGCCAAGUGACCCAUCCCUGGGUGAGAGCAGCAAUAACAAGAGCAGGUUUCCAGAGCAAGGAGGUCUGACCUGACCCCGAAGGCAAUGUGCUUCCCAUGCAGCAGUUAAUCCCCCUCCCGCUCCCACCACUGCCUAACGCCAGGCCAGUUCUUGCAUACCCGCAUGGGUUAAACUGGCAUCGCUGGGCUGGGGGUCACGGCAUUGUUCUCCCACAUCCCCAGCUGCUCACCAGCCCCACUGCUGAGCCUGCGUAACUCCUUCCAUUAGAAGCCAUAAUUAAGGUCAAAAACUAUUUCUAUUACAGCCUUCCUUUCCUCACUUAGAGCUUCCGGAAAAAAUUCUCUUUUUUGCUCUAAUUUUUUCCAUACUCUGAGCCUGGAGACAAAUUGGGAGUUAAUGGAUAAAUGAAGCCCAUCGUGGAGCAUCGCAGGCCGCACGCUGUCCUGCUUCCAGCGUUGUUCCAUGGAAGCGCGUCCCGCUCCGGAGCUCCCUUACAUCCGAGCAGUGCAGAAAGCUGAUUAACAUUAAGCUGAUUAACGUGGGACCAUUGUUUAGGGCUAUCCUGUGGAGCCAUCCUAUUCAUUCCGCUGUGACACCGCACGCUGCGCCUGCGUGCAGAUGUUGGCGUAGGCACUUGGGAGAGCCCAAAUACUAAAACCGGUUCAAAAUAAUAAUAAUAAUAAUAGUAAUAAUAACAGUGAAGCAAUGCCCAUAGCCACAGUCUGACUGCUGUGGUCAAGGGCACAUGUCCCAGCUAUGCCACGAGCUCAGGGCUCUGCUCAGCCUCAUUUGCUGCCCAUAGCCAUGCCAUGAGACAGUGCACUGAUGGUUCGGUCUUGCAGCAGCACAAAGGCUUGAGUCUGCUGGAUCCCCACGGUGCCAGGGACAAGCCCUGGGGACAUCCUAUUGCAUCUGCACCCUGCAGAGACCUGAGGCUCGAUGCAAUUAGUGUAAUUUCCUUGAGGAAUCCAAGAAAACACUGGUUCCCCAAUUCUGUUGGAAUUCCUACACUUCCAGACAUGCAGGUUAGCCACCCGGCACCACCAAAGCAUUUCUGCUCACAGACAGAACUUGUGACUCAUUACAGCAACAAAUACAGACAAGAUCGAUAUCACCUUCCCAAGUUACCCCAAGCACUGCUGGCCUGGAGAAAAACAUCUGAUCCAAGCUGGGAAAGAGGGGAAACAAGAACAGGACCCCACAGGUACUGUGCCUGCACAGAGCUAAUGCGAGCUCAUGCGGAGGUACAAGGGCACUUUAGGAGGGGUCUCUACCGCAGCAGCAGUUUCUCUCCGGGGUCUCGGGCUGUGCACAAGGACCGGAGCGGGGCAGCCCUUGUGUGCGCUAAUCGCCUCCGUCUGCUCACCAUACGGGCGGCCGCUGCGGCCCCGGAGCAGAGAGGAAUGCUUUUGUUUGCCGAGCACACUUGGCAGCCGGAAGGGAUCUCUGGAAAGCAAAGCGGGCACUUAACAAGCCGCGGCCUUCCAGGGUCAUUAAAGGGAGCCAGAAAGUGAGGCUGCGUCCUGAGUGCUCGCUCAGUGCCGGCCACGGGAACUCCAUCAGGCGGAUUCCACGCGGGGCUGCCCGUGGGCUCACCUUCAGGUGGGAGGAAAGCUGUGGUUUUGGCAGCACUCGCUCUGCUCAGGGCAUCCCCUCUACGUGGGGCCGGCUCUCCUCGCUUGGGAUCAGCAUCUCAUCAGCACGCAGAGGGGAGCGGCCACGUCGGGGACAGAGGGGUGAAAGGGCAAUGGCUGAUCCCCAAACCACCCAGCCACCAGAACAAAAUUCCCCUUCUAACAAGGCAUGGAGCAAACAAAUUAUCUUUGUUGU